GUCUUGUCAGAAAAGUUGAAGUGCAAGUCAACCAAAAAAAAAAUAAAAAUAUCGCCUCUUCGAUUCCUCGUCUUCGAUCGAUGGAAGGCGGGCGGCGUCGGCUCCUCCCCAUUUCUACCGUAGCCACAGAGGUGUCCUUCCUUGUCCCUGGCUUCCUCUUCCAACCACAGACGAGAAGCUCGUUGUGUACCUGGACGGCAAGAUCCGCAGCCAGCUAAUCGCCGAGGCGAACCUCGACUAGCGCAAGCCAUUGGACCUCCUCGGCCGCUCCAGAUUCGCAGCCCCAGAUUGGGUACUUCUUCAUCCCUCUGGACCGCGAGUUCUCUGACCGAUCACGGACUCACCGCGUCACAUGAAACGGUGUGGGGCACACACUGGGCCUACAUUAGCUCCGCCCAUGCGAGGAGGCGUAUGGUAUGAAGGUUCUUGAGGAAGAGUGAGAAGAGGAAGCGAUCGACGGUGUGGUUCUAAUGCCAAACGUACAAUGGUGGGGAAGAUGAGUUCAAAUCGAAAGAGGGCUGUUUGCAGUUCAGUAUCUCCUCAGAUUCCAUUCAAGGAAGACAAAGAAGUUCACGAUGACACAACCAAUUACAGUUUGCUUCAGAAUUCUUCCUUGUGGUGUUCAGAGACAGAGAAGCAUGUCAGGGUUCAUGAAUCAUCACUUGGUGAAAGGACAGAUACCAGACUUUAAAUGGAACAUGUAACGCAAUCCCAACAAAUUAUUGAAUUUACUGGCCCACAAAGUUCUCCAACGCAGCUUUCCCGAGUUCCAAGUAAGUUUCAAUCCCCUCUCUCCCUAGGCAUUUUCCUAGCUGCUUAGAAUAUGGAUUUCAGAGAAAAUUUCAUUUUACAACUAAACUUUUGUUAUUUUUUAGAAUGGCCUUUAGAAUUUCACUAUUAUCAUUUCACCUUUGUACUUUUGUGAAUGUCGUCAAAAU